GCCAGGCACAGUGGUGUGUGCCUGUAGUCCCAGCUACUCAGGAAGCUGAGGUGGGAGGAUCACUUGAGCCCAGGAGUCCUGGGGUAUAGUGUGCUAUGCUGAUUGGAUGUCUGCACUAAGUUCAGCAUCAAUAUGGUGACCUCCAGGGUGUGGGGGACCACGAGGUUGCCUAAGGAAGGGUGAACCAGCCCAGGUCGGAAACGUAGCAGGUCAAAACUCCCAUGCUUAUCAGUAGUGGGAUUGCACCUGUGAAUAGCACUGCACUCCAGCCUGGGCAACAUAACGAGACCCUGUCUCU
rnacentral:SRP_RNA from 1 species